rnacentral:rRNA from 1 species
CUAAGAAUAUUCCGCAAUGGACGGAAGUCUGACGGAGCGACGCCGCGUGGAUGACGAAGGCCGAAAGGUUGUAAAGUUCUUUUGCUGGGGAAGAAUAACCGCAGGAGGGAAUGCCUGUGGGAUGACAAGAACCGGCGAAUAAGCCCCGGCCAACUACGUGCCAGCAGCCGCGGUAACACGUAGGGGGGCGAGCGUUGUUCGGAAUUACUGGGCGUAAAGGGCAUGUAGGCGGCUUGGAAAGCCUGGCGUGAAAGUCUGCAGCUUAACUGCAGGGGUGCGCUGGGAACUGCUGAGCUUGAGUGACGGAGAGGGAGCUGGAAUUCCUGGUGUAGGGGUGAAAUCUGCAGAUAUCAGGAAGAACACCGAUGGCGAAGGCAAGCUCCUGGCCGAUGACUGACGCUGAGGUGCGAAAGUGUGGGGAUCAAACAGGAUUAGAUACCCUGGUAGUCCACACAGUCAACGAUGUGCACUAGGUGCUGGGGCGGUAGCUUCGGUGCCGGAGCGAACGUGGUAAGUGCACCGCCUGGGGAGUAUGCUCGCAAGGGUGAAACUCAAUGAAUUGACGGGGUCAU